rnacentral:rRNA from 1 species
CUCGAAAACGACACCUAAGUUUUCUGGAAAGGAAUGCCACAGAGGGUGAUAGCCCCGUACGGUGUUGACUCGAUACAGAGUCCUAACAUGGAGUCGAGUUGUUUGGGAAUGCAGCUCAAAUGGGUGGUAUGCUCCAUCUAAGGCUAAAUAUUUGCGAGAGACCGAUAGCGAACAAGUACUGUGAAGGAAAGAUGAAAAGAACUUUGAAAAGAGAGUGAAAUAGUACGUGAAAUUGUUG